AUUUGCUCUAAAAUACACACGUCCUCUUUCCAUCAGAGGCUCUGUACUUCAAAGGAAGCUGUGAAUGGGAGAAUGACUCACCCCAUGAGGCAAUAUCUGUCUGGAAAAUGCCUCUCCAGAUGGCAGACCUGCAUAAAACCCUUUGCUUCAACAAUGGAAGUGGACAAUGAGACAUGUCUGCUCCUGGCAGCACCAAUAUACUUAAGAGAAGACGCUGGGCAUUGAAGAAACUCACAUGGAGUUUACUUUAUUUGUGGCAAAGGAUCUGCAUGCUGUUUGGUGCCUUUGCAGAAGUAAUCUCAUG
rnacentral:lncRNA from 1 species